CCACUGUUUCUUCCUCUAGUGAAGCUCCGCCACUGUUUCCCCAAAUCCACAAGACUGCUCCGGCCGAGCCAGCUGCAAGGGAUGGCCGGAGGGCGCAGCUGCUGCGAGAGCUGACCGGAGACGGCGCAGCAUCACCGCCACACGUAUCUCGCUGCUAGCAGCAGGGAGACGGCGAAGUACACAAGAAGCAGAGCAACGGCGAGAUCCACGAGCUUGACGACAACGGCAAGCUGGAGUCUCCUCCCGACGAGCUCGACAAGGAAUACGACGACGGCGAUGUCCCGGAGCAGCACGGCCGACCUGGACGAGGAGGAGGGUAGCAACCAGACGAGGGGCAUGCCUGGGCCGCCGGGCUAUCUUACGGCUGCAGGAGGCCUCUGACGGCAGGGUCGCGACAGCUGGACCUCGGCGCCCUCCUGCCUGGCCAAGCCCCAGUAGCAAAACCAAAGAUGCUGUCCAACCAAGUUUGUGUUUCCACAUUGCUUCUUAUGGCAUUGAAAGCUUCUUCAAAGGCUUCCUCUUCCUCAUACUUGUACAUGCAAGCACUGAAAUCAGCAAGUACAUUUGGUCCUUCCUCGUCUUUUUUCUUAUGAGGUACAAUUCCUGAAUCAUCUGCUGUUUCAAUUUCAAGUGCUUGCAAGGCCGAAAUUUUCCUCUGUGAUGGCAUCAAGUGGCUUGUCCCAGGAGAAGGACAACAAAAGAGAGAUCGUCUGCAUUAAUCUCCUGUCAUGUUUUGGAAAUCCCAGAAGGAAGACAAAAGGGAGAUAAUCUUCAUCGCCUACAGAUCAGCUUGCCUUGGUUUCACUCUGAACAUGGGGGAUGAUCAGAAGAGAGAUAAGGCAAAAGGGAGUUGAUCUCGCCACCUACAGACCACAGAUGAACGUACCUCCGCCAUGUUCUUUUACAAGGACGAGCAAGAGGAACGGGGAAGAUGAGCAGGACGAAGGCAAAUAGAUCGUAGAGGAGCCGAACCCAUCGAUCGCUGUUUGUCGCCAACGCGAUUAUUAGGGUGGUGUUUUGUUUGGCGCCAAUGUGAGUCUUCGUGGUUCUGUUUGGCGCCAAUGUGAGUCUUCGUGGUUCUGUUUGGCGCCAAUCUUGCAACCGUACAAGAUUUUCUACCACAUAAUUAGGUGUUUGUUUCCAUCUAUUAACAGAAUCGGGUGGGGGUAAUGAGAGCCGUGAGAUUUAAAUGAAUGGCUGAUCUGGGUUGGUACAGUACCCGUGCAGUAAUAACGUGACUGCAGAUGAGCCGAACCCCGAGAUUGCGGCUAGAUGACAUCGGCUGCAUGUGGCAAGACAUGCAUAAAUACUAAUUGGUAUAAACUACGAGAUGAAGAACCUAGAAAGUCAGAUUAGAAGUAAGUUAGAUGUUAUUUUGAUUAUUUUAUUUUGAGGAAUCGUACAAUCAGAUUGUAGUUUUGAUUUUCCUGGGUUGGACACGUUGGGCCUCUUAAUUUAUGAAUAACUUUUUGUUGACAAAUUUUGUGUGUGCAAAGAAAGCACAUGGGCAGCGGAUCAGUGUACCCAAUAAUGAGUAAUCUAUCACAUCAUGCUUCCGAUAUAUACUUUGUAGUACUACUAUUUUAUGGGUGUCCUACAUAAAAGGACAUGUAAGAGACAACAUUACAAACAUUAUUAUUUUUUCAUUAUAUUGGAAAACAAAGGAUAUCCAUG
rnacentral:rRNA from 1 species